rnacentral:rRNA from 1 species
UACGUACUGUGCGAACGUUAUUCGGAAUCACUGGGCUUAAAGGGUGUGUAGGCGGCCAGCUAAGUAGGGUGUGAAAGCCUUGGCCUAACCAAGGCAUUGCGCUCUAAACUGACUGGCUUGAGUGAGAUAGGGGUGUGCGGAACUUCCAGUGGAGCGGUGAAAUGUGUUGAUAUUGGAAGGAACGCCGGUGGCGAAAGCGGCACACUGGGUCUUGACUGACGCUGAGACACGAAAGCCAGGGGAGCGAACGGG